GAUGAAGAACGUAGUGAAAUGCGAUACGUAAUGUGAAUUGCAGAAUUCAGUGAAUCAUCGAAUCUUUGAACGCAUAUUGCGCUCUCUGGUAUUCCGGAGAGCAUGCUUGUUUGAGUAUCAGUAAACACCUCAACUCCCCUUUCUUUUUUUGAAAUGGGAGCUGGACUUGAGUGAUCCCAACGCUUUUCUCACCGAAAAGUGGCGGGUUACUUGAAAUGCAGGUGCAGCUGGACUUUUCUCUGAGCUAAAAGCAUAUCUAUUUAGUCUGCCUAAAAAACAGAUUAUUACCUUUGCUGCAGCUAACAUAAAGGAGAUUAGUUCUUGUGCUGACUGAUGCAGGAUUCACAGAGACAGCUUCGGCUGGCCUUUGUAAACUCGAUCUCAAAUCAAGUAAGACUACCCGCUGAACUUAAGCAUAUCAAUAACGGAGGA
rnacentral:misc_RNA from 1 species